rnacentral:rRNA from 1 species
GACGAACGCUGGCGGCGCGCCUAACACAUGCAAGUCGAACGAGCGAGAGAGAGCUUGCUUUCUCGAGCGAGUGGCGAACGGGUGAGUAACGCGUGAGGAACCUGCCUCAAAGAGGGGGACAACAGUUGGAAACGACUGCUAAUACCGCAUAAGCCCACGGUGCCGCAUGGUACAGAGGGAAAAGGAGCAAUCCGCUUUGAGAUGGCCUCGCGUCCGAUUAGCUAGUUGGUGAGGUAACGGCCCACCAAGGCGACGAUCGGUAGCCGGACUGAGAGGUUGAACGGCCACAUUGGGACUGAGACACGGCCCAGACUCCUACGGGAGGCAGCAGUGGGGAAUAUUGCACAAUGGGGGAAACCCUGAUGCAGCGACGCCGCGUGGAGGAAGGAGGUCUUCGGAUUGUAAACUCCUGUUGUUGGGGAAGAUAAUGACGGUACCCAACAAGGAAGUGACGGCUAACUACGUGCCAGCAGCCGCGGUAAAACGUAGGUCACAAGCGUUGUCCGGAAUUACUGGGUGUAAAGGGAGCGCAGGCGGGAAGACAAGUUGGAAGUGAAAUCUAUGGGCUCAAUCCAUAAACUGCUUUCAAAACUGUUUUUCUUGAGUAGUGCAGAGGUAGGCGGAAUUCCCGGUGUAGCGGUGGAAUGCGUAGAUAUCGGGAGGAACACCAGUGGCGAAGGCGGCCUACUGGGCACCAACUGACGCUGAGGCUCGAAAGUGUGGGUAGCAAACAGG